CUCUCUCCCUCUCUGUGUUCUAAUAUUCUGAAUGUGUUCUCUCUCUGUGUUCUACUGAUCUGAAUGUGUUCUCUCUCUCUCUCUCUCUCUCUCUCUGUGUUCUACUGAUCUGAAGGUGUUCUCUCUCUCUCUCUGUGUUCUACUGAUCUGAAGGUGUUCUCUCUCUCUCUCUCUCUCUGUGUUCUACUGAUCUGAAUGUGUUCUCUCUCUGUGUUCUACUGAUCUGAAGGUGUUCUCUCUCUGUGUUCUACUGAUCUGAAUGUGUUCUCUCUCUCUCUCACUCUGUGUGUUCUACUGAUCUGAAGGUGUUCUCUCUCUCUCUCUGUGUUCUGCUGAUCUGAAGGUGUUCUCUCUGUGUUCUACUGAUCUGAAGGUGUUCUCUCUGUGUUCUACUGGUCUGAAUGUGUUCUCUCUGUGUUCUACUGAUCUGAAUGUGUUAUCUCCUCUCUCUGUGUUCUCCUGUUCUGAAGGUGU
ensembl:lncRNA